GUGUCAGCAGCCGCGGUAAUACGAGAGGCCCAAACGUUAUUCGGAUUUACUGGGCUUAAAGAGUUCGUAGGCUGCGUGGAAAGUAGGGUGUGAAAGCCCUCGGCUCAACCGAGGAAUUGCGCUCUAAACUACCGCGCUUGAGGAACCUAGAGGUGAGCAGAACUGAUGGUGGAGCGGUGAAAUGCGUUGAUAUCAUCAGGAAUACCGGAGGCGAAGGCGGCUCACUGGGGGUUUUCUGACGCUGAGGAACGAAAGCCAGGGGAGCGAACGGGAUUAGAUACCCCUGUAGUCC
rnacentral:rRNA from 1 species